rnacentral:rRNA from 1 species
GUGGGGAAUAUUGCACAAUGGGCGAAAGCCUGAUGCAGCGACGCCGCGUGAGCGAAGAAGUAUUUCGGUAUGUAAAGCUCUAUCAGCAGGGAAGAAAAAAAUGACGGUACCUGACUAAGAAGCACCGGCUAAAUACGUGCCAGCAGCCGCGGUAAUACGUAUGGUGCAAGCGUUAUCCGGAUUUACUGGGUGUAAAGGGAGCGCAGGCGGCGCGCCAAGUCUGAUGUGAAAGCCCGGGGCUCAACCCCGGGACUGCAUUGGAAACUGGUGCGCUAGAGUGUCGGAGAGGUAAGUGGAAUUCCUAGUGUAGCGGUGAAAUGCGUAGAUAUUAGGAGGAACACCAGUGGCGAAGGCGGCUUACUGGACGACAACUGACGCUGAGGCUCGAAAGCGUGGGGAGCAAACAGGAUUAGAAACCCGGGUAGUCC